UAGAAAAUAGAUAAAUGACGUUUAUUAUUUUGUUAUGUGUAGGUAUAUAAUAUCAGCAAUCUCUUUUUUGACGAAACUCAUUUUCUCCAAUUCUCAAGGCAUCGUGAACCCGUUGGACGGCCCUGUCUCCACAUGCCUAUGCAUGCAACUUUUAUGAUCAAACAGUUACGUGUUCCAUAUAUUUUUUUUUUCAUUUAUAACGCGAGAUUCACCGCUUAUAGAAAAAAGUUAUAUAGAUCCAAUUUAUAAAAAUAAAAUAGAAAUAUGUAACAAUGUUGAUUGCGUGCUAUACCGUACACGAGAACCUCAGAGAGUUCAACGACCGAAUAGCAAAUGAAAGAGACAAAACAGAAAAUAGAUAUACUAAUAGUGCCGUUAAAAAGUUAUUGAAAAGCUGCGAGGAAACCAAAUCUGGCCAGCUCAAAUUCAAUCGAUCGUUCGAAUAUUCCUUUUGUUCUAUCCUCAUUUUUUCUUUUUUCUUCUUCACAGGUUCCGAUCAAAGUAAAUCUUGUUAAUUCAGCCCCAAUAAACUCCGCACAUAUAGAAAAACUAAGCUUAAUCUAGAAAACAUUCAACAUACUCGCGUUAAAAUUCUUAUAAAUACGUAUAAUAUGGUUAAGUAUACUAUAAGGGUGCGAUUAUUUAAACAUAUAUUCAGGGAUAACCGAAAAAGAAGAAAUUCUUCAAACUUUCAUGAUUUAUUAAUUGUUCCUUCUAUCAUAAAAUUGACAAAAACUUAUGUAAAAUGAUUUUGUAAAAUUGAACGAACGCGAAAUUGAAGGAAUUAUUUUUGCAACGAAACUAUACGGGGCGCAGCAUGCGAAUUAUGACUAUGCACCGUGUGCAUCGAGUAAAAUGCUCAGUGGAAUGGUAUAGGUAAGAAUUGUUAGCAAGGUAGCAUGAAAAGUGAAACUAUACUAGGCAGUAUAAAUGAGUAAUACGUGGUUGGUCGCAGAAUAACGUAACAAAAGUCAAAUCUGGACCAUCGCACGAACGUGUAGCGUGUAAUGGUCUCGUAGCUGACAACGAGAGAAUGAAUAAGUAGAAGAUGAGUGGAAGAAAAAAAGAGUAUGAGAAAAAAAGAUUCCUCACUUUUCUACGUUAGAUCCACAUAACGGCAAAUCUCAUAAUACACGCGUAGUGUAAAGUAGAUAAAAUAUUAAUGAGCCUGAGCUUCACCGGCAUUCUCAAAAUCUACACUGACACGCGAUAAACGCGGAAGAUUUACUAUUCAAAUAAAGGAGAAAAUUAAAAAAAUAAAAGAGAAAAAGACCGUUACCCUAAUUUGAGCGUUUCUUGUUAAAAGAUUUGUACAAAUCGAAUUUCGUAAGUUAAUCAGAUUUUCGAUAUAAUUAUACACCAGCUCUGCGACACGAAUAUUUUUUUAUUCGCUGCGUCAGCUUCUAUACAUGAUCGUGAAUAAUAUAACGGCUAAUACAUAUGUUCGCUUUAUGUGUAUACAUGAUCUCUAAGUACACAUACGAUAUCAAACAAAAAAAUGGUGAAUUAUAAAAAAAACAAUUCAGAGGCCACACGAUAUUUGAAACUAAUUACAAAAUAUAGUACAUACAUAUCGACAGUUUAUUUUAUAAGGUCAUUCAGUUUCAGUGUACUCGUUACAAGUAUAGUAUGUAACUAGGUAAGUACAUAAACAUGUUGCAUACAAUAAUACGUUACUAUGAUAUAAAUUCAGAUGGAAAAUAAUCAAGGACGAAUUGCACACGGCCAAUACUAGACAUAGCGAUUUAUCUUUUUGCGCUACUCCGUACGUACGUACGUGACGUUGGAAUAUCUUACUUUCAUAUCGAUGAUAAAAACCUCCGUACAAAGGCCUCUGUAAAAUUUAUCGUACGAAUCCGUAUACGUGGUGAACGAACAGCAACGUUACAAUUCGUCUGUCUCUAGCUCUCGGUUCGUAAUGAGAAAAAAAAAUUCGAAUGCACGAUGUACGCGACAAUUGAGGAGAAACUACGUGUCGCAGUAAUAUUCAUUGCCUCGAACAAUUAUUCUAGGCGAAUAUUUCGAAAAUCAUUACUGGCUCGACAAAAUUACUAAUUUAUAAAUAAUAUCCUCCGAGAAUUGAUUUAUCCUAAGCGAAAAACGCGUCUGCCGUGAUGUGUUCGAAUCAUAUUGAUAAAAAUUCGCGGUCAGCCGGAGCGAUUUUUUAAUUCAACCAAUAAAACUGAGGCAUACGUGCGCUGAGUACAGGGCAAACAAUGUUUGUGUCGGAAAAAUGAUGUCGUGUCAUUCGUCUAGCGCUCCCCCUUCGGCGGACCUGCAUGUUUGCGGCGCGGCUUGGCGACUUUGUUCGAUAAACUUGACCCUAAUGAUGUUAAAAAAAUGUAAAAAUGACACCCUGAAUUUAUCCCCUUUCAAUUCCUAGCGCGUAAUCGGAACCAAAUGAACCGUACGAAGUCCACCCAAUUGCGAAUCAUUAGGUCCGAUCGUGUUCGUUGUAAAAUUUAAAAACUAUUUUUUUACUUGCACACCCAUUGUGCGCGCCUAGCUCACACAGAUAGGUAUAAAUUUUUUUGAAAACUUAUCCGGCGAUUGACUACGUAUAGUCAAAUGAAAAACCGUUGCACGAAUCAUAAUGACGAAGAUGGACGACGACGACGACGACGACGACGGUGAUGACAUACCCAGUGAUUCCCGACAAACCUGAUUCAUAAAAAUUCCACAACAUUUGAAGAAGAAAAAAAAAAACCCAUAUAACUUAAGUCGCUCUCAUCUUACAUAUAGUAUGAUAAUAUGAAACCAUAAAAACCAGAUUUUCGCUCUAAUUUCCUUGUCUUUCUUUUUUUUCUCCUCCUCAUUUAAUUCAUGGAACGUACGCACGUGCGUACACAUGUAGAUUGUUUCAAUAAAUUACACCACGCGAAGUCGUAUGUAAAAAUAAUAUCGAUGUAGCUUGUCAUCUACUAUGUCUAUAUAUCUGUAAUACGUCUAUAUCGUCACGGCACGCGUAAAUACAUACCUAAUAAAUACGUGAUGACGCGUGGGUAGGCAUAAGAUGCCUACAUAAAAUUAAAGAAUUAUUUAAAAGUUCAAUCACGUUGAAUAGACGCGGACGCGUAAUGGUACAGGUAUACUAUGUAAUGUACCCGCUAAGCCGUAAAAUUCGAACUUCGAUCAAAUGUUCCGCACGGCUGAAAUGUAUGAAAAACAGAUAUAACGGGGAGGUAAAAGUAAGCUUUUGGGGUGUAACGAAAACAAGUGGAUGCAUUAUGAGUCAUUCAAGAGCCACCCUAUCGAUCCCGCACAUUUCUAUGUAUAGGUAUCCAUAGUGUGUACAUAGUAUUGGAUACAUGUAUAGGUAGGUAAACCUCAGUUCAAUGCCACCGACUCUUCCGUCUCUGAAAACCACUCCGAUAACUAUUCAGAUCGUUAUUAUUAAUGUUAUAAAUGAAACAAAAUCUGAGGGGUGCGAACGAACUAAAGUGAAAUGACAUAUGCCAAUGAUAAAUAUCGUCGUUGUAAAAAUAUAUGAAUUACAUACAAAUAAUUAUUUAUCCAUCGCACUAUCUAUUUACUUUAUCUUUUCAUAAAUAAUCUACAUUAGAAAAUCGAGCAAAGAAAACUUAUAUUAUCGGUGGAUAUAAAUUCCGCGUAGAUGAAAUUAUAAAGACAGAAAAAAAGUAGAUAUGAGAUUUUUUUUGCCGAGUCGUUUUAAGGUUUAUUUGUUGAUGCCUCAUUGCAGUUGUAUAUUUUAUAUUCCAUGACGCAGAAUUUUUUAAACCGCGCAGUUAGAUUGGAUGGUCAGGGAUCAAGAAUGUUUAAUCUAUUACCCGUAAUUGAUCAAAUGCCUACAUACAUAUGUACGUGUGUACGGAGGGAGUUUAAUUUUGUUGAGUAUAUGUUUAUAUAUUCGGUACGGCGCAGCUGAUGACGACGAUGAAAAUGAAGAUUUUGAUUUUUCUCUUUCUUCAAAUACUUUCUGUUGAAGAAUUAUAUUUAUUCAGAUACUACAGCGAGGGAAUAAGUUAUGUAUACAUAAAUGUAUGCUGCAGCGAUGACAUUACCGUACAGAAAUUAAACUUCGACUAAAGGUUGGAAUAAAUUCUUAUCAUUCUACAUCCUUCUACGAUAUAAAAAUCAAAGAUAACUUCCGACAAUGUGACGACAUUAUGUUAUACGUACAAAAUGGUGUGCAGUGCGUUUCACGCGUAUGAAUGCGUGUUUCGGUAGUACAUGUAUAAUGACAAAAUGAAAACGGCCCGGUUGAUGAUUCAUGAAUGGAAGAGCAGUAACACGGAUCGAAAUUUAGUGAUUCAUAAGUAUAACAUAUCUAGAUAGUUGUACAAAGAUUGGCGCGAUGCACCCCCAUAUUAUAUCGAUACCGAUCGAAUAAACCAACGCUUUUAUACCCGCGACCGAAUGUUCAAAUGGAUUCCUUUCGAGUUACAAGUAUACGUUUGUAAAUUGUCAAAGUAUAUAAGUAUAUUGGUGUAAUCGAGUUUGUCAUCGCAGUAAUCUUAAAAUGUUACUUCACUGGCGUCGUGUCAGCUGUUAAAAGUUAAAAACGGGUACGUCGUCGCUUCGCUACGUAGAUCAAAGAAAAUGGAAUGAGAAAAAAGUAUUCACACACCGGGAGUAUGUCGUCUACAAGAUUUCCCAAAACUUUUGUUGCAUUCAUAUUCGAUGGAUAAAUGAAACAGGUGAUGUUUGAAGUUGAAGGACACGCGAACGAUAUAGGCGUGGCUACUUAAAUUUCGAUCCGCAUUCAAUUCGUGUAGUUUUGGAUCAACGGAAGAUUUAAUAGUAUUUACUAUGUAUAGCUUGAUGAUACAUAAGAGUUGAAUAAUAUAUACAAGGUGGAAUAAUAUCGGUGAAAGAAUGUUGACAAAAAAAAAAAAAAAUAGUAAAUAGUCGAUAGCUAUCUUCUUUCCAGCUUUCAUGUUUCGGAAUUUUUAAGCCCGGCGAUGGUACCGCAUACUUCUUAUACAGAAAUUUGUGACACACGAGCUGCCAGCCCUGAACUUCAAAUUGUCCGAAGUGGUUUUCAGCCGGUUGGAAAAGAACUAAACUUCGCAUGUCCGUGGGUGGAAAGUUAAAGUCUUUGAGCGAGGAGAACCUGCCCCGCCUACACCAUGCGCCAAAUUUCUAUAAAUACUCGAGGGAGAACGCGCGGAGCGAAAAAGUCCAAAAAAUAUAUAUUGGACGGGAUAAAAGCAGAGAAGAGAGAGGCGAAUAGAAGUUAAGACGAAGAACUGCAAGUGUAUGUCUAUAAUGCGGGAAUAAAAAUAUUCCGAACUGAUCUUGAAAUACUUCAUACGCCACGGUGCGUCGUACUUAUUGGAUGUCUGGUGAUAUCGUAAAAAUCCAUCAGCAGACCAGCCAGUUGCAGCAGAAAACCUUUGAUUGCCCCUUUUUCUUCGAUUCGCUUCAUAAUCUCAAACGUCAGAACAAAAUAACCGCGGUUGGUUUUACCGACCGACUGAUUCGAUUUUGCGAUAACCAACGUUUCUACGUUGCAAAGAAAGCCCACGAGGUUUUCAUAUCAAAUCGCGAUCAAUAUCCUGAUUACAGAUAUAAAACUUUUCAUAAAUUCAAUGAAAAGUUGAUCUAGAAAACAACAAAAUGGCGGGGAAACAUCACAAGUAUAUAAAUUGCAUUUAGAAUUAAUUAAGAUACCAAACCACCUCGAGCGCAGAAUUUUUUCAGCGAUUCUAAAAAACUUGUAGACUCUUCUAAUUUUGGAUUUGCUUUGUAGAAGCAUAUAGGUAAAGUAGCUAAGUUAUAUAUACGAAGCUAGGUAUCUUACGUUACAUGCCUCCACUUGGCACACCUGCCGAGAGGUUGCAUUUUUUUCCGAGAGACGUUCUCAAAAUGAGAGCGAGUGCAGGUUUCUUUAUAAAAUAGUCGGGCGUCGUCAUUUCGUGCGACGCGCACUUAUCUCAGAUUUGAUACAAAUGUAAAAAUAAGAGAGAAAAAUUCGAAGUACAAUAGUCAAAUGAGUAGAGUAGGUAUAAUUAUUGAAAUUGAGUUUUCAUUGUCCAAAAGGCGUUCACGCUGACAAAAUAUGAGUUACUCGACGAAAACGACAUAAAUAAAACGGCCAGCGAGAGAGAAUCGUACAGGUUACUAAUGCCGAUAAGAGUAGAAAGAGAGAUAAGAUAAAUAUAUACAUAUAUAUGUGAUCUGAAUCGUAGAAUUGUUCGACCGUUCAAUAUCUCCCGACUCUCUACAGCAAACGGUCGUAUGCAUGUACGUACCUACAUAGCAGGAAUAGAGGCUAAGAAAUGACAUACAAUCAUCGCACAUACGUUGUUUGUAUAAGUGAUACACUAAUGCACGCCCAUGAUACACGUAUGCGUUUUAUUUUAAAUAUAACGUAACGUAGAAAUUUGAAUACAUAUAUCGUAAACCGGAAGUACGAGAAUUCCACGAGCUGAAGUAUGAUAAUGCGGUU